UGGGGAAUAUUGCACAAUGGGCGCAAGCCUGAUGCAGCCAUGCCGCGUGUAUGAAGAAGGCCUUCGGGUUGUAAAGUACUUUCAGCGGGGAGGAAGGCGAUAAGGUUAAUAACCUUGUCGAUUGACGUUACCCGCAGAAGAAGCACCGGCUAACUCCGUGCCAGCAGCCGCGGUAAUACGGAGGGUGCAAGCGUUAAUCGGAAUUCCUGGGCGUAAAGCGCACGCAGGCGGUCUGUCAAGUCGGAUGUGAAAUCCCCGGGCUCAACCUGGGAACUGCAUUCGAAACUGGCAGGCUAGAGUCUUGUAGAGGGGGGUAGAAUUCCAGGUGUAGCGGUGAAAUGCGUAGAGAUCUGGAGGAAUACCGGUGGCGAAGGCGGCCCCCUGGACAAAGACUGACGCUCAGGUGCGAAAGCGUGGGGAGCAAACA
rnacentral:rRNA from 1 species